rnacentral:rRNA from 1 species
AUGCAAGUCGAGGGGUAACGGGGAAGCUUGCUUCCGCCGACGACCGGCGCACGGGUGCGUAACGCGUAUACAAUCUACCUUGUACUGGGGUAUAGCCUUUAGAAAUGAAGAUUAACCCCCCAUAGUCUCUUAGAGUGGCAUCACUUCUAGAGUAAAGGUUACGGUAUAAGAUGAGUAUGCGUUCUAUUAGUUUGUUGGUGUGGUAACGGCACACCAAGACUACGAUAGAUAGGGGCCCUGAGAGGGGGAUCCCCCACACUGGUACUGAGACACGGACCAGACUCCUACGGGAGGCAGCAGUGAGGAAUAUUGGACAAUGGAGGCAACUCUGAUCCAGCCAUGCCGCGUGCAGGAAGACUGCCCUAUGGGUUGUAAACUGCUUUUAUACAGGAAGAAACACCUCUACGUGUAGAGGCUUGACGGUACUGUAAGAAUAAGGAUCGGCUAACUCCGUGCCAGCAGCCGCGGUAAUACGGAGGAUCCAAGCGUUAUCCGGAAUCAUUGGGUUUAAAGGGUCCGUAGGUGGAUAAAUAAGUCAGAGGUGAAAGCUUUCCGCUUAACGGGAAAAUUGCCUUUGAAACUGUUUAUCUUGAAUUAUGUUGAGGUUAGCGGAAUGUGACAUGUAGCGGUGAAAUGCAUAGAUAUGUCAU